GGGUGUAUAGCUCAGUUGGUUAGAGCGUCACGUUGACAUCGUGAAGGUCACUGGUUCGAGCCCAGUUAUACCCACCA
rnacentral:tRNA from 2 species